AGAUAAUAGAUACCCUGGUAGUCCACGCCCUAAACGAUGGAUACUAGGCGUAAGAGGUAUCGACCCCUCUUGUGCCGCAGCUAACGCACUAAGUAUCCCGCCUGGGGAGUACGGCCGCAAGGUUGAAACUCAAAUGAAUUGACGGGGACCCGCACAAGCGGUGGAGCAUGUGGAUUAAUUCGAUACUAACCGAAGAACCUUACCCAGGUUUGACAUCGAUCGCAAGCCUCAGAAAUGGGGCCCUCUUCCCAAAAGGAAGACGUGAAGACACUUGUUGCAUGGCUGUCGUCAGCUCGUGCCGUGAGGUGUACGGUUAAGUCCGCCAACGAGCGCAACCCUCGUCCUAUGUUACCAACACGAAAGGUGGGAACUCAUAGGAGACCGCCGGUGUAAAUCGGAGGAAGGUGGGGAUGAUGUCAAGUCAGCAUGGCAGUUACGCCUGGGGCUUCACACAUGCUACAAUGGGCGAAACAAAGGGCAGCAAUACCGUGAGGUGGAGCCAAUCCCAAAAAUACGCCCCAGUUCAGAUUGCAGU
rnacentral:rRNA from 1 species